CUGUUGAUUUUAGUGGGGACAACAUGCCUCUUUCUGCUGGAUAUCUGCAUAUCCUAAUAACUGUUCUCCUACUGAUGUCCAGCAUUUCAGCAAUUUCAUUCACCAAAACACUAUUUUCUCUAUGGUGGAUUACCAACUCUCUAAAUUCUUUCGUGAUGGCACGAGGCAUUGUCUUCAGUAUCAUAGCACACCGUUUCACUACGUCAUCCUCAUCCCUGCAUCUUGCCGAGUAUUUCAGGGAAAAUUUUUACUCCCUCCUAUCGCACAUGGUUUUUAUUAUCAAUUGCGAAAGCCAUAAUAUUAGUC
rnacentral:lncRNA from 1 species